rnacentral:tRNA from 1 species
GCAUUGGUGGUUCAGUGGUAGAAUUCUCACCUUCGUGCCAGAGGCCCGGGUUCAAUUCCUGACCAAUGCA